UCGGAAGCACCACAGACAGGGCUCUGUUGUUGGCUGUAAAGAUGAGUACAAAACACUCCAUCGUGUCCCAGCCGCAGAGGUUUUAAAAACUGCAUGGAUUAAAUUCAUUUUUGAAGGCAUUGUCCCUGCUAAGGUUGGCAAAAAGCUGUUGGUGUGUGUGUUAACACUUCCAGACUGACUGUUUCUCCAACUUUGGUCAGUAGGCCUACAAUGCAGGAUUAGCUAGGAAACCUUUCCUUAAAGAGGGUGCCCUUCCAAAUUUGCGUGGAAUACAUGUUGAUGAGGGACAUGCCAGUGCAUCAUUAGAGUUACCAGCCUUAAAAGAUAUCGGCUGCCAGACUGAGACCCCUCUAAGACAGAGUGUUGGCACACAACUUCACAUUACAAAAGGGAAGUUGUCCAGGCUACGGUGUCCUGCAAGGACUUUGGCACGUCCACCGAUCCAUUCAUAGCCCAACUCCCUUUUCUAAGCUCAAAACAGGUUUAAAAUAAAUAUUAUAAUAAAUAUUUAUACCAUAAAUAUUUUUUUAAGUAGCAGCCUAUACCAGAUGAUUGUAAUGUAUGUAGCGUAUAGCUUACAAUAUUAGAAGUGGUGAAUAUGAACAUUUAAAGGAAAGGAUAGUUUUAAGGCCUACACAACACACAGUGCAGUAGCCUGGCUUAUAGCCUACACUUUUGAACAAUGUAUGAUAAUAACUUGACAGAAUAUUUAGCCUAAUAUGUUUCUUGUGAAUAUUGGACAAUUGAUGAUUAGGCUAUUAAAGAGAUAACAUGUGUUGCGUAAUUGAAAAUUGAAUUUGCAUUACAAUAAAGAGUCUAGGAACAUUAUAGGCUAAAUAGGCCUAAGCAUGAACAGGUUUAAUUCGUAUCACAAAGAUCACAUAUGUAAUGCUCUGCACUAUCUGCACAGGCCUCAUGGGACCAGUGGAGGCAGAACAGGCACUGCACCCACACUUCCCCAGGCAUGGAGGAACUAAAGGACUCGCCACAAACCACACCCCUUCUCCUCCUGGGAACCGGCGUUUGCGGUGGCAGGGGCGACUGCAGCAUAGGCGGAGGUGGCAGGGAUGGAUGCUUUUUUGGACCACGGCACUUCUUCCUAGCCGGAGCAACUUCGGCUGGGGUGGAGGCAAGGGCAACUGCAGCAGGGGCAGCGGCCACAGGGAUAAGGGAAAAGUUGCUUCUUUGCUCUUUUAGACUUCUUCAUAAGACGCUGCUCCUGUUCCUUCUCCAAAACCUCCUUGACUGAG